rnacentral:rRNA from 1 species
AGUGAACGCUGGCGGCAGGCCUAACACAUGCAAGUCGAACGGCAGCACAAGAGAGCUUGCUCUCUGGGUGGCGAGUGGCGGACGGGUGAGGAAUGCAUCGGAAUCUGCCCAUUUGUGGGGGAUAACCUCGGGAAACCGGGACUAAUACCGCAUACGACCUACGGGUGAAAGCAGGGGAUCUUCGGACCUUGCGCAGAUGGAUGAGCCGAUGCCGGAUUAGCUAGUUGGAGGGGUAAAGGCCCACCAAGGCGACGAUCCGUAGCUGGUCUGAGAGGAUGAUCAGCCACACUGGGACUGAGACACGGCCCAGACUCCUACGGGAGGCAGCAGUGGGGAAUAUUGGACAAUGGGCGCAAGCCUGAUCCAGCCAUGCCGCGUGUGUGAAGAAGGCCUUCGGGUUGUAAAGCACUUUUGUUGGGAAAGAAAAGCAGCCGGUUAAUACCCGGUUGUCAUGACGGUAGCCAAAGAAUAAGCACCGGCUAACUUCGUG